GAUGAUCUCGGAAGCCAGAUGACCUGGUC
rnacentral:piRNA from 1 species